AAGAGUGAGCGAGGUGGUUGCGGGAAGGUAUCUUCCUGAGGAAAGUCCGGGCUUCCUAAAGAUCAGACUUGCUGGGUAACGCCCAGUGCGCGUGAGCGUGAGGAUAGUGCCACAGAAACAUACCGCCGAUGGAGGGAAACCUCACAGGUAAGGGUGCAAAGGUGCGGUAAGAGCGUACCAGCAACAUCGAGAGGUGUUGGCUCGGUAAACCCCGGUCGGAAGCAAGGUCACGAGGGGCGAAGGGUUGAUCUUUUUCCCCGUCCCGUUAGCGAGAACCGCUUGAGGCAUCUGGUAACAGGUGUCCCAGACAGAUAACGACCCUCUGGCAACAGAGAACAGAACCCGGCUUAUGUCUCACUCUUUCCU
rnacentral:RNase_P_RNA from 1 species